AUUGAACGCUGGCGGCAGGCUUAACACAUGCAAGUCGAGCGGGGAUAGGGUGCUUGCACCUGAUUCCUAGCGGCGGACGGGUGAGUAAUGCUUAGGAAUCUGCCUAUUAGUGGGGGACAACGUUCCGAAAGGGACGCUAAUACCGCAUACGUCCUACGGGAGAAAGCAGGGGAUCUUCGGACCUUGCGCUAAUAGAUGAGCCUAAGUCGGAUUAGCUAGUUGGUGGGGUAAAGGCCUACCAAGGCGGCGAUCUGUAGCGGGUCUGAGAGGAUGAUCCGGCACACUGGGACUGUGACCCGGCCCAGACUCCUACGGGAGGCAGCAGUGGGGAAUAUGGGACAAUGGGGGGAACCCUGAUCCAGCCAUGCCGCGUGUGUGAAGAAGGCCUUUUGGUUGUAAAGCACUUUAAGCGAGGAGGAGGCUUACCUGGUUAAUACCUGGGAUAAGUGGACGUUACUCGCAGAAUAAGCACCGGCUAACUCUGUGCCAGCCGCCGCCGUAAUAC
rnacentral:rRNA from 1 species